rnacentral:lncRNA from 1 species
AUGAAAUGCAUAGUAUUUAUUACAUAUCUCACUUCAAACCCCACUCAGCCUGCCAUUGAAAGGAAACAUCCCAUUCAGAAAAAAGCAGUAGCAAAGGGAGAUUUACGGACAUGCAACUCAGAAGUACCAAAAGAAGGGCAAGAAAGGCUGGAUGGCUGUGAAAAUAUCCAGGAGCAGAAAAAGCAUCUGAGAAUCCAGCCAAGGAAACUAAUGUGCCACUUUAACAUCUGCAAAAAGUGUCUCAAGAACCAGAAAGGAAUAUGGAUAAUGAUAGAGGGAAUAUAUCUCCACCCUUGGGACCUUCUUAUGUGAAAAAGUAGUUGUGAGACGCCUUCAACAAGGACUGGCUGACACUCUAAAAAAACCUUCUGUGUCAGAGACUUCCCUGGAAAAUUCAUCACAUUAUCACAUUAAGUUAGAAGAUGAGAAUCGGGAUUUAAAGAAGAAAUUAAACCAAAUCAGAAAACAAGUAUGUUUGAAAUUUAACAUAUCAACAGUUAUUCUACAGCUGCUUAAAUAGUGUAAA